UCUUCUUCUCCUCUCUUUUGUUCUUCAAGAAAUCAGCUCCUCUCAUCAUCUUCAAGCUCAUGACUCAAUAGCAAGUGAUAUUGUGUUGCUCUUCAUCCACAUGGGUUUACCACUAUUUGGUCUUCUAUCUUGCCUCUUGAAAGGGGCUAAGACCUUAAGGUAAUGAUGAAAAGGCUGGGGAGCAAGGCACUACUGCAAAGGGAGAGGCAUACGCUUAGGAUCUUUUCUAACCAGAACUGUGAUGUUUAUGGAGGAUGCGUUAUGUUUUUAUGAACGUAUGGACUCUGAGAGUCUUUUACGGAUGAAUGUUCAAAUAGGAUGUUUAUUAGGUGUUCCCUUUAUUAAAUUAGGAAUUUGAGUACACGUGUGUCAUGUCCAUGUCGACCGCACGUUAUGGGAAAAAGAAAAAGAAAAGAAAGAAAAGAAAAAGAAAAAAAGACAAGUAUGUACGUCGCGAUCCCUCUCUCCGGGGCGGGGUUGUCACAAGUUUGGUA